UACAGAGGGGGCAAGCGUUGUUCGGAAUUACUGGGCGUAAAGCGCGCGUAGGCGGCUUUUCAAGCCGAUUGUGAAAUCCCCGGGCUUAACCUGGGAACUGCAGUCGGGACUGUCUGGCUAGAGUAUGGGAGAGGGAAGUGGAAUUUCAGGUGUAGCGGUGAAAUGCGUAGAUAUCUGAAGGAACAUCAGUGGCGAAAGCGACUUCCUGGACCAAUACUGACGCUCAUGUGCGAAAGCGUGGGGAGCAAACAGG
rnacentral:rRNA from 1 species